AUCUAGCUGACGAGUCCCAAAUAGGACGAAACGCGCGUGCUGAAU
rfam:Schistosoma rodhaini strain Burundi genome assembly, scaffold: SROB_scaffold0000677